UACGUAGGUCCCGAGCGUUGUCCGGAUUUAUUGGGCGUAAAGCGAGCGCAGGUGGUUUAUUAAGUCUGGUGUAAAAGGCAGUGGCUCAACCAUUGUAUGCAUUGGAAACUGGUAGACUUGAGUGCAGGAGAAGAGAGUGGAAUUCCAUGUGUAGCGGUGAAAUGCGUAGAUAUAUGGAGGAACACCGGUAGCGAAAGCGGCUCUCUGGCCUGUAACUGACACUGAGGCUCGAAAGCGUGGGGAGCAAACAGG
rnacentral:rRNA from 1 species